AGUGAACGCUGGCGGUAGGCCUAACACAUGCAAGUCGAACGGCAGCACAGUAAGAGCUUGCUCUUACGGGUGGCGAGUGGCGGACGGGUGAGGAAUACAUCGGAAUCUACUUUUUCGUGGGGGAUAACGUAGGGAAACUUACGCUAAUACCGCAUACGACCUACGGGUGAAAGCAGGGGAUCUUCGGACCUUGCGCGAUUGAAUGAGCCGAUGUCGGAUUAGCUAGUUGGCGGGGUAAAGGCCCACCAAGGCGACGAUCCGUAGCUGGUCUGAGAGGAUGAUCGCCCACACUGAACCUGGACACGGGCCAGACUCCUACGGGAGGCAGCAGUGGGGAAUAUUGGACAAUGGGCGCAAGCCUGAUCCAGCCAUACCGCGUGGGUGAAGAAGGCCUUCGGGUUGUAAAGCCCUUUUGUUGGGAAAGAAAAGCAGCAGGUUAAUACCCCGCUGUUCUGACGGUACCCAAAGAAUAAGCACCGGCUAACUUCGUG
rnacentral:rRNA from 1 species